rnacentral:lncRNA from 1 species
GCUGCCUCCACCCUAAGCGUGACUGGUGCUCUCAGGUGAGUUGUCAAAUCCUGUUUUUUUAACAUAUUUGUGUGAUUUGUGUUUUUUUUGUCAAAAGAAGUAGAGUGGUGUCGCCUAUGACAGAGGCGUGACCUCCCUACAUGUACCAUUUUGGUACAUAGUUUCUUGAAUAUAUUAUUUUGGUUUUUUUAUUUUUUUGGGUACUAUUUUUGUAAAAAACCUGCAUAAACUCACAGUGCAUUUGGGUGAGGAAAUUGCUGAAAGGGUCCGAUGUAUUCUUAUUGUUGGGAAUCCGCAGGAGGACAUGAUGGGGUGGGGGGAGGAGCCGUCAAAUGAUUUUUCAGAAAGAAGUGGCUAUAAGAUCUUAAUUCAAAGUGUUGUGGCUGCUGAUAGGAGUGAUACUUAUAAAACUUUUUAUAAAAAAACUCUGGUAGAUCAAUUUACCAGAGAAAAUAAAAAUUACAACAUAGAUAAUUUUUAAAAAUUACAUCCCUAGCUAUUACAAUUUGUACAAUAGGAGGAUACGAAGUUCAGCAAUGUGCCCAAAAUGUACAAGAGAUGUCGAAACUUCUGAGCAUAUCUUUAGCGACUAUCCGUCUGUAGCAGAAAUAUGGAGAAAGUUAGAUCUUGAAUGGCCUGAUAAUAUUGCAAAUAGUUCUUUACAGGAUUGGCUUAAUUAUAUUGUUUCCUCUUUCUCUACUACUACAUGCAG